rnacentral:misc_RNA from 1 species
UUUACAACAUCAUCUCUAUUUGUAUUUUUUGCACUUUUGCAAGUAGUAUAUGGAACAAAGGCCCAGAAGAGGAAUAAUUUCAAUUAUCUCACUUGUUCAAGCAGAAGUCACCCAUUUCACGAUCUAAAAUCAAUCCUCCAUAGCUGAGCAUGCUGCAGUUUGAUUGUGAUUAGGCUUUCUUCUCAUACAUGGCAAUUUGGUGAUGCAUGAAACAAGGUAUUUCUGCCAUCCUACUUUCAGAAACAUGCACUCCCCCACUAUCAUCAAUCUUCCCCUUUAUCUGGAUUCCAUUCCCGUUCUCAGAUCCAGUUGAAGGUAUCAGAAAGAAUUCAUCUCAAGACAGUAAGUUCUCCUCUUCACCAAUAUUUUUGCUGCGGUUCCAUAAGGUUCCUCGAAAGCGUUUGAAAGCCAUGACCCAUCAGAUACGUCUUUCUUUGUCAUUGACUGCUCGCUUGGACGUAUUGCUACAAGAGUUGCCCCUUUCAGAAUAAUCCCACCAGGCAAUUCCAAGUGAGGCGCAUACCAAAGCCUCAUAUUCAGAGCUGGAACAAGCGUUCUCUUUGACGCAGUUGAAGCUGACAAAGGCUUUACUCUCAACUCCUCCAG